GAUGAACGCUGACAGAAUGCUUAACACAUGCAAGUCUACUUGAAUUUGGGUUUUUAACUUAGAUUUGGGUGGCGGACGGGUGAGUAACGCGUAAAGAACUUGCCUCACAGCUAGGGACAACAUUUAGAAAUGAAUGCUAAUACCUAAUAUUAUGAUAAUAGGGCAUCCUAUAAUUAUGAAAGCUAUAUGCGCUGUGAGAGAGCUUUGCGUCCCAUUAGCUAGUUGGAGAGGUAACAGCUCACCAAGGCGAUGAUGGGUAGCCGGCCUGAGAGGGUGAUCGGCCACAAGGGGACUGAGACACGGCCCUUACUCCUACGGGAGGCAGCAGUGGGGAAUAUUGGACAAUGGACCGAGAGUCUGAUCCAGCAAUUCUGUGUGCACGAUGAAGUUUUACGGAAUGUAAAGUGCUUUCAGUUGGGAAGAAAGAAAUGACGGUACCAACAGAAGAAGUGACGGCUAAAUACGUGCCAGCAGCCGCGGUAAUACGUAUGUCACGAGCGUUAUCCGGAUUUAUUGGGCGUAAAGCGCGUCUAGGUGGUUAUAUAAGUCUGAUGUGAAAAUGCAGGGCUCAACUCUGUAUUGCGUUGGAAACUGUAUAACUAGAGUACUGGAGAGGUAAGCGGAACUACAAGUGUAGAGGUGAAAUUCGUAGAUAUUUGUAGGAAUGCCGAUGGGGAAGCCAGCUUACUGGACAGAUACUGACGCUGAAGCGCGAAAGCGUGGGUAGCAAACAGG
rnacentral:rRNA from 1 species